rnacentral:lncRNA from 1 species
CUGUGUGUUGCAGGUUUAUUGUGUCUUCUCUGUGAAAAGUUGAGUCUAAAUGGUAUGGCUUACCAUUUAUUUCAAGUCUAGAUGGUAUUUUUGUAUCUAACUGGAAGUUUUGAGAACAGAAAAUGUCUCGAGAGAAGGAAUGAGGGUGCACACUCAUGACUUGUACUAGAGAUAAUUUUNCUUUCUUAAUUCUGAAGGUUUGGGUGAAGGAAAGGGUAGUGAUUCAAGUGUCAUUGUCUAUAGUAUUUUCCGUCUUGUUCUUGCCUUUGUGGUAAUGUANNAUGNUCUANAGUGGUAAAGGAAUACAGAUUCAAUGACAACUUGACCUGUAUACCUUCUUUAGUAAUUGGUUUAAGCCUUUAAGACAAAUUCUUGCCUCGAAGACAAAGAGUUAGAAGACCAGAAUUUAGGUUUCAAAGGAUGGGUGAAGACAUAUUGGAGUUUAAAAUAAAUGUUUGGGUGAAGAAGUUUUCAAGAACAGAAUCAGUAAAUCGAAUACCGUGCAUUCCACAAGAAGAGUUGGAUUCGAAGGCUAGAAUAAGAGGAGCUUUGGAUAAGCAUGGGUGUAGUAAGGUUUGAGAAAUCAAANGGAGAUCAGUGCAUCAGUAACGUUAGAGGUUAGAAGAAAGAACAGUAUUGGUGAUCAACGGAGAAGCAUUGGAAGAGGUUAGCAACUUGGUCGGUGUAUCAACAAUGGUUGAGAUCUGAAUAAGAAAAGUGGUGAAUGGUUUGAAGCUUAAGUUAAGAAAGGAAUUGGAAUUCUNUAGUGGACCAAGGUGAAUUAGUAUCUAAAAAGGAAAUAGAAGAAGAAGAGUUUGAGAAGUAGUUGUGUAAGACGUAUAACAAAUUUAAGGACUGUGUAUUUGAAGUCAGAAUUUUUCUGAGUNGAGAGAACGUGAAGUCUGUGAAGAGAAUUGAAGUAUUGUAGGAAAGUAUAAGGUUGGAGAAUUAAGGGCACCAUGGAUGAGGAAAGGAAAAAGGAAAGGUUUCAGAAUAGAUGGCAAAGGGUNGUUUCCGUAUACGUUAUGAAAGAGGAUAUCGAGAAUAAUCAAAGAGUUUGGGUUGGUUGAGAUGUUUAGAGUUAUGAAGUGGCAUGUUGUGAUAAAGUCAGUUUUCUUUGGGUGUGGUUUUAUGGUGAUGAUCAGUAUUCGAUUGAGUUUGAUCAAGAGAGAAGUGGAUAUUGGAUGUUGAGUUACAGAGGGCAGUAAGUGGGUAUGUUCAUAUAAGGUCAGAGGAUUGGUACUGCUGGUUAAAGGUAUCUUGAGGUUCAAGGGGUCAAAGAUAGAGUUAGUAUUUCUAAGGAUUCUGAGUUGAAGAGGGCAAUUCUUGAAGAAGAAGGUUUUAAACUUUUAUGGCCGGGAUGAGUGCUUGAAGAAUUCUUAGCGACAGGGCGUUUGUGGGGUUAAUCUAGGGCUCAGGUUUGAAGCUUAUAUGGAGUGGUUUCUUGGCAGGAAAGGGAAGCGAAGGUGGUACAUCUAGUACGGUUGAACGGAAGGUAGAAGCAAGUGUUAUGGGAAUUCAAGAUGUUUGUUAAGUGCGAGUGAAGAAGAGAUGAUGUUAUUCUUUCGUAAGUUUGAGGUGUGAUUCAAGGGAGGUUUGUUGUUUCAAAAUAAUUCUCUAGCGCUUUAUGGUCUUCAAGAGAAGCUUUAUGUUUCAAGAAGAAAGUCAGUGGUAAUACAUCAUUUGUGGAUCAAGUUAGAAGGUGAAGGAAAAUGGNUGUUAGAAUCAAAAGAGGUUAACAUGGUUAUGGAAAGAGAAAGGAUUGCAAAGUUUNGAAGAAUAUAACAAGAAUAAGUAGAGAAUAGAAGACUAGUCUUUUUGGUGUAAGAGUUUUGAUUGGCGUUCUGAAGCAGGUACUAGAAUUUCCACAUUAGAUUGGUGGAGUUCACUAUUAACCAAUGUUAAUAGUUCAUAAUGAGACAAUUCCUGUUAAGUGUAAGGUACGNAAGAGGUAGGUGGUGGAUUGGUUAAAACAGCGAUAGUUUGGACUCAACUCCAUCAUAGAGAGAACCACAAGGUUGAAGAAUCUAUGAAGAGAAAUAGAGGGCANAUUGGAACAGUCUGGUAUAAGUUUUAGUUUCAGGCAUGUUCAUGUUAGAGGAGUAGAAAAUAAUAUUGAGGAAUGGAAUGGCAAAGCUAUCAUGGAAAGGAAGAAUUAUCANGAUUUUGCAAGGUCAUGAAAGUUUUAGAACAUGUUUUUCAAGGGGGUCGUUUUCUGGUCACAUUAGUCAUGAAGGAAGUGUCCUUUCUGUAGACUAGUGUGUAAAGAAGUAUGAGGAUCAGAGUAGCGCAACGGAUGUUAAUGGGCUUAUUCUUAUCAGUACCAAGUGUAUGUGAAGCGUCUUCAAGGUCAGUUGGUGGUUAUGUGAGAUGAGCUUCUUUAAAACAACUGGGAUGUCGUUAUCUGGGGUAUUAGUUGUGAGCGUUGGUGAUCUUCAAGAGUCAGAANUGAGUUUAGCUGUGAAGGAGAUGUGUACAAAGCAGAGAUGACAAGUGAGACUUCAGUUUCAAGAUGUAGGGUNGACCUGGAAGUGGGAGAAUAAAUGGACGUUGAGCAUNGGAAGAGGGUCAGUAGAUGAAGGAAAUGAACACAGAUAAGUUUCAAGUUGUAAGAUCAAUUUUGAGGUGAGAAAGUGUUAGUUGUGAGUGGAAGCUGAAAGAAGAUUCAAAGUUUUUGUUUUAGUUUAGUAAGAACUGAUUAAGAAGCGGUCAAAGAGCCUGAAGAGUGAAGUCCGAAGUGAAGAUGGGAUGCUUAAAUUGUUGUUGNUGCUGCGAUUAAAGAAAGUUUAAUUUUGGUAAUGGGAUAACAUGGUGGGAAACUAUGUUACUCAAGAUUGGGGAUCAGUAUAGCAAUGUGAAGUCUUAAUAAUGGAUGUGGUUAAAAGUUAUCAAGAGUAUAACAGUUGGUAGUUAAAUCAGAAGUUGUAGUGAUCAAGUCAGAGGUAUGAUAGUUCUUGGAAGAAACAAGAGAAGGUAAAAGAGUAUCAAUCAAGGCUUGAUCUAAAGUGAAGACCAGUGGAAGUUUUAGAAGAGAUUUACAAGAAGGAGAGGAAGAUAGACGAGGGGUUGGCAUAGUGACAGACCCAAUGGGAUUGGUUACAUGAAAGAAAGGUUCUUAAAAGCUAAGAGUAGAGGUUCAUAUUUGUCUAGAGGCUAAUGACUAAACCAAUCUACAUUAUUGAACACUAGAGCAUUUUAGCACAGAGNCAAGGUUUUCUUGUUAGUGAGAUUGUUGGGGAUUAGUAUCUUAGUCAAGAUAUGGGAGUUGGAGGAUGAGAU